CCUACGGGUGGCUACAGUGGGGAAUAUUGGACAAUGGGGGCAACCCUGAUCCAGCCAUGCCGCGUGUGUGAAGAAGGCCCUCGGGUUGUAAAGCACUUUCAGUGAGGAAGAACGCCUGGUGGUUAAUACCCAUCAGGAAAGACAUCACUCACAGAAGAAGCACCGGCUAACUCCGUGCCAGCAGCCGCGGUAAUACGGAGGGUGCGAGCGUUAAUCGGAAUUACUGGGCGUAAAGCGCGCGUAGGUGGCUUGAUAAGCCGGUUGUGAAAGCCCCGGGCUCAACCUGGGAACGGCAUCCGGAACUGUCAAGCUAGAGUGCAGGAGAGGAAGGUAGAAUUCCCGGUGUAGCGGUGAAAUGCGUAGAGAUCGGGAGGAAUACCAGUGGCGAAGGCGGCCUUCUGGACUGACACUGACACUGAGGUGCGAAAGCGUGGGUAGCAAACAGGAUUAGAUACCCUUGUAGUC
rnacentral:rRNA from 1 species